rnacentral:lncRNA from 1 species
UCCUUCUAGGGCAUAACAAGCUUCACUUGUGGUGGAGACAGCUGUACUGGGAGAAAAAUGAAGAAGAACUGGCAUGAACAUUGCUCCUUUUCUCUCUCCAAAUAUACCCUUGCUGGGAUGUUAAAAGGUGCUCAACUGCUCCAGAUGGAAUAUCUGACUCACAGAUGGGGGCUGUAAGCAAAGUGAGGGCACAGCGCUUCCCACCAGACUGCAAGCUCAGAAGUCAGACUGUUUGCAGAAUAACUUGGUAAAGCCUGUUCUAGACUAAUGCUUUAAAAAGACUGGGCUAAAAACCUUCUCCCACUGAAAUCAGUAAGGGCAUUUCCAUCACCUUCAGCACAGCCAGGAUUUCUUGCUGAAGAAGGAGGAACUUAAUUUCAGAGUGACU